rnacentral:tRNA from 1 species
AUGUGGUCGGCGGCGUAGCCGAACAGGAUCGGCAGGCAGAAGCCGCCGAGGCCGCCGAUCACCCCGACCAUGCCGCCGACGGUGCCCAUG